rnacentral:lncRNA from 1 species
ACAAUUUUUGCCUCAUGAGAUAACUUAUGAAAUUUUACAGUGAAGUCUGGCCAAUGUUCAUUUUUUAUGUUAGAGCCAAACUUAUCUGAAAUCUCAAAGCCUCAUAACAGGUUAUGUUGUCCACACCUUAUACGUUCAGAUCUAAACGUGUUAAAUUAUCUCAUAUUAGUAAUUUGAGGAAUUGCAUUAUUGCCUUCUUAAACGGACCUGACAAUUUUCAUCUUUUGAAAUUGAAUUGGCCCAAAUUCCCCUUUCUUAACACACCUAAGGUUCUCUAACAGCUUAAUUUUUCCUUGUUCCCCUUUCUUUCAUUCUUAAAUGUAGAUGUUUUUUCAAAUGUCAAUGGCAAACCAUAUGCUGAAAUUCAGAAGUUUAACUUUGUAUCUAAUUGUCUAUAACUGAAGGUAGCAGAGGAUGAGAGGAAACUCAAAUAUUUGGAUUUCGUUCAAGUUACAGCGAUCUAUGUGAUAGUUUGCUUCUCCACUUUGUACGAAUACGCCAAAGGAAACUCCGGGCCACUGAAACCUGGUGUUAAAGCUGUAGAAGCCACUGUUAAAACCGUCAUCGGACCGGUUUACCAUAAAUUCCACGACGUGCCUUUCGAUCUCCUCAAGUUCGUCGACUUCAAGGUUUUUACAUUCUUAAAAUUUCUUUAUGACCAAUUAAUAAAUAAAUUUCACUCGUAGUGUUCGCACGAAACUCCGGGCCACUGAAACCUGGUGUUGAAGCUGUAGAAGCCACUGUUAAAACCGUCAUCGGACCGGUUUACCAUAAAUUCCACGACGUGCCUUUCGAUCUCCUCAAGUUCGUCGACUUCAAGGUUUUUACAUUCUUAAAAUUUCUUUAUGACCAAUUAAUAAAUAAAUUUCACUCGUAGUGUUCGCACCAUACUUUUUCAUUAUAAAGUCAAAGUAUGGGCAGCGUGUACAAAGUAUGGGUGAGAACGGGCAAAUUGAGUAGGGUGCGUAUGGGCAGCGUGUACAAAGUAUUCUUUUCUAUAUUAAUUCAUUUUGCACUUUUUCAUUAUAAAGUGAAAAUUUAAUUGGACUAAAUUGAUAAGUUU